AUUCCAGAUUACAAAAGCUAGCCUAAAAGUCACAUGGCAGUAUCCUUCUGCUAUAACUAAAUGUGGGAUGGUUGCUUGAACAGCCACAAGCUGAUAUAUAGACUUCAGUGAUGUUGCACUGAGCCGUCCUUAGAGUUUCAGCAGUUGGACUGCCCAAAGAGAGCUCUGGGGCAUCAGUGGACAUGUCAAUUUCCUUCUCCUAAGGUGAUUCCUCCUUGUGCUAUUGCUUUAACUAACGUGUACUAGCAUUCCCUCUUUUGUGGCGGCUUCCUGGUUGUUAACUUGGGGGGUUAUCACAGAUGUCUUGCUCCACUUUGAUGUUGGCCUUGCUACAGUCCAUUUGCAAGUUUUCCUCUAAAGAGAAUGCAUAUUCCUGGUGUGUGUAUAGGUAGACUGGAUAGUUAUAGACUGCCAGCAUAGAAGCUACAGGCUAUGAAAAUUUUACAUUAGAGCUGUGCCAGAGGAUUCAUUCUUGUUAGGUCAUUUGUUUGUUUGCUUUGCCAACAAAUGAACAUCUGUUGGAAAACAUCUGCCCUCAUGGUAAUUUACCAAAGAAUGCAUGUAACCACUGUAAACUGUUACCUACACAUUACCUCAUCUGGAAAAAUUCCAUGCUGAUUGUCCUUAUUUAGAAGGCUGCUACACACUGCUUUCUAAAACUGUAAGCUUUAGGCCAGAACUGGAAUUUAUGGCUUCUUGCUUGUUUUAGGUUCAUCAACAUCAUCCUGCCACCAUCAUCCACAUGUAUGUCAUAUGAGUGUGGAAGAAAAGGGAAGUUGCUUAGAGAAAGAGAGACAGAAAUAAAGAGUACACACAUGCCUGAGGUGAGGAGGGAAAUAGAACACAAUGUGGAUGGAAAGUCCAUUGCAAUGGAUACAGAACAACUAAAAAGCAAUGAUCACAAAGACAGAGAGUCUGUUUCAACAGGGAUUCUAAUCAUUUCCAUGGCAUGCCAUUCUGUACACACAAUCAGCAAUAAAACCAAUUGUGCAUUGCCAUGUGUUUUGUGUAUAAGGUGCAGGGUAUUCAUACUACCUACUGUAUAUGUCACUUUGUGUCAAAAAACCACAACAUACAAAAUGUGUCCCUCUCUCUUACUAGACAUACAAAGACAAGCAAGUUACAAAGAAAGACAUUUGUAUAGCAUGACAUGUACAGGAAAUGACUUGUGAUGGUGUCAUUUGGUUGCAUACAAGGACCCAAAGCAUCAUGUAAAAUCUCUUUGCCCACAUGACUGGAUAAAUUGUGUUUUAAUAUGUUUAUUUUGUUUUUAUUGUACUCCAUUUUAUGUGAAGAUUGGAUUAUUAAUUUUUAAAUAAGUAAAUGACUGCGCUAAUGAUGAGGAUAAUGCCAUGUUGUUGGUAUUUCAAUUAUUUGAUGAGAAAGAAAAUGAUAGGGCUAUUAAGAAGAAGGAUUCAUAACCUGCAGCCCAGGGGCUGCAUUCACCUCUUGGCUCCUUCACAUGUGGCCCUAAAGCCAAUGUGACAUCUUUCUCAGGAAAUGCUAUUCACUGGCUUACCAGAAUACUCUAAAACUGUUAGUAGCAAUGGGUCAAAAGUCAGUUACUGAGAGAUAGGAUCACACUGGGGUAUGCUUAUAGG
rnacentral:lncRNA from 1 species